CCGUAUGUAGGACCCGUUAUCGUCCUCAUUGAAACAAUACAAUUUCAACAAAAAAAUAUAUAUAUAUAAAUAACUAAUUUUAGUAAAGAUAAUAAAUAUAUAAUGAUAUUGUUGGCUUACUGCAUAUGAUUUACUGGAUAAAGUAUGUAUAGUGUCAGUCUAACUUUGUUAGAAAAUCCACAAGUUUCAUUUACUUUUACGGAAAGCUGUGAGCCAGAUGGAGAUGGAGAUGAAGCCGAGCCAUAAAAAUAAGCAUCCGUGCCAAGGUUUAAAAACAUCUGGAAUUUAUUAUUACAAGGACAAAUCGUAGGUAGACUCCUAUAACCAAUAUGUUCAACAUAUGGAAGAGAUUAACUAUUGUAAGAAAAUUUUCAGUAAUAGAAAAAGAAAAAAGAAAAAAGAAAAAAAAAUUUACCAAAUAGAAAAACACAUCAUAUAUCAUUUUAUAUUUAAGACCUUAAGGCAUGAUUCAGUAAGGAUUCGUACAGGAUUCACAAUAUUUAUUGUCAAUUUAAAAAAUAAAUAAAUAAAAAUAUACGUAGGAUAAAAAUAUAAUGUUUUUGAAUAAAAGAUGGAUUGAAGAGAAAUUGGCAUCUGUAAAAUUUAUUUGGUGGGAGUUGAUCCGUUCACAAAGGUGGCUGCAAGUGAGAAGAAGAAUAAAAAAAAAUAUUUAAUAAGAAACUGGAAAAGAACUGGAAGAGUCAGUGGUUCCUCCUUUUUAUUUUUUCUUUCAUUUCUCUAUGCUAUUUGUGCUAUUCUGCUGGUUCUGUGGUAGUACCUACAUAAAAACGAUAAAAACGGAAUAUGGGAAUGGGAACUGGAAACUGGGAACUGAGAACUGAGAACUGAGAACGAAGAUAUAUGUAUUUAGUGGAGGUAGUGGAGGUAGUGGAUAAGCUGCUGCCAAGUAACGGCAGAUGUUCCGAGCUUCCGAGCUCAGUUGUUGGCGCGUGCCCGCUGCCACUUGGCUGCAAUGCCAUCUGCCCCUUCUCUCUAGUCAUUUCCAAACUUUUAUUAUUAUUCUUAUUAUCUUUUCUUAUUCUUACUCUUAACUAUUAUUUUCAUCACUGCUCUUUUUAUUUUUUUAGUUUAUUUUCUAGCUAUAAAUACACAGUCUCCAUUAUAUUAUUUUAAACAAUACAG